rnacentral:rRNA from 1 species
UCCGGGGGGAGCAAGCGUUGUUCGGAAUCACUGGGCGUAAAGGGAGUCUAGGCGGUUUGGUAAGUGGGAUGUGAAAUCCCCGGGCUCAACCCGGGAACUGCGUCCGAGACUGGCAGGCUCGAAUCCGGGAGAGGGAUGUGGAAUUCCAGGUGUAGCGGUGAAAUGCGUAGAUAUCUGGAGGAACACCGGUGGCGAAGGCGGCAUCCUGGACCGGUAUUGACGCUGAGGAGCGAAAGCCAGGGGAGCAAACGGG